CAAUAGCGUAUAUUAAAGUUGUUGCAGUUAAAAAGCUCGUAGUUGGAUUUCGGGGCAGCCUGGCUGGUCCGCCGCAAGGCGAGUACUGGUCAGCCGCCCUUCCUCUCGAAAGCCCCGACUGCUCUUCGUUGCAGUGGUCGGGUAGUUCGGGACGUUUACUUUGAAAAAAUUAGAGUGUUCAAGGCAGGCCUACGCCUGAAUACAUUAGCAUGGAAUAAUGGAAGAGGACCUCGGUCCUAUUUUGUUGGUUUCCAGGGCCGAAGUAAUGAUUAAGAGGGACAGUUGGGGGCAUUCGUAUUUAAUUGUCAGAGGUGAAAUUCUCGGAUUUAUGAAAGACGAACAACUGCGAAAGCAUUUGCCAAGGAUGUUUNCAUUA
rnacentral:rRNA from 1 species